GCCGCCCGCCCGGGCGCUCCGCCUCGGCCACGCACACACACCCUCGCGCGCACGCCCGCCCGCCCGCGCCUGGCACACGCCCGCGGCUGCCACUCGCGGGCUCCCCCACGCACCCUCUCCCGGGCUGGCCGGCUCGGGGCCGCUCGCGCACUCAAGCGCGUACACACAUCGCUCUUGCACACACAGGAUCUGCGGGGUAUUCGCCUCUUCGCCCCGCGCCACACCACCCAGCUGAGCAUCGCUUUCAGGCUACCCUGCGGGGGCGCAGGCUUGGAUCAGCCAAUCACCUUGCUGUCUACGAGAAGGCCUUUAUGAAGAAAUCCAUCUUUAGCUGGAGGCCCCUGUGACUAGAAAGAUUUCCCCUAUGCCCAUCUAACCCUGCUGCUGCAAUGUGACCUUCUCCUACCUAGAUUUCUUCUCCUUGAAAACAGGCAGCCUGAACUAAAACCAUUGAGACUUCUUCCCGAGGUUGGAUGGGCUCCAGGCCAGCUCUCCUAGACACCUGGAUGGCAGCUUAGCAUAAAGAGCCAGCUGCCUUCUCGUAGAGCCAAAACAUCAGUGCGUGGUCCAGACCGUUGGCAAGUAGACCUGGGCAUCCUGAAUCUACAGCUCGGACCGCAUCUCUGCAUCUUGCCCAAGGGGAGUCUAUGAAGCAGCUGCCUCUCUUAAUUAAAAGGGAAACGCAGAGAUGAGCCUGGAGGCUUGCCACUCACAUUUGCCUGGACACUGCUGGACAAUGGGGCAUGUCCCCACCCACAGGUGACCCCAUCCUCAGCUCGGGCUGAGAGACCACACAACACACUGGGGGCAAGGUAGGGUUCAUACCUGGGUCUUGCUUCCAACCAAAUGGCUUUCCUGAUAGAAUUGGGGUGGGGGGAGGGGAGCGAAGCACAGUUCACACGGCAGCCUAUUUAUUGAUUGACUAUUGGUUGGUUGGUUUUUUCAAGACAGUCUCUGGGAAGCCCUGGAUAUCCUGGAACUCACUCUGUAGACCAGGCUGGCCUUGAACUCAAAAGGUCUGCCUGCCUCUGCCUCCCGAGUUCUGGAAUUAGAGGUGUGUUCCACAACUACCUGGCUAAGUACCUUUUAGAGCCCUAAAGUCUCUCAGGAUUCUCAGCCCUUCUACAAAACCCUUACUACACAUGUGGAUCCCAGAAGAUUUCAGGUACUGAUAGAGCUCAUUGCAAUAAAAACCUGAACCUGU
ensembl:processed_transcript 9430021M05Rik RIKEN cDNA 9430021M05 gene